UCACUGGGUCACAGCGGUCGAGCUUGACUUUUCUAUAUGAAAGUAGAAAUUGAGAGAGAUCCGUUCUGGAUUUGUGAGAGUGAGGACGACGAGAGAAGGAUGGAUCCAUGCCCGGCGGCAACGCCGCCGGGAUUCUGAGAUGGCAGCUGACCGGUGAAGUCAUGUAGAGAGAGUCGGACCUGGGGAUGAAUGAUUUGAGAGU
rnacentral:lncRNA from 1 species